ensembl:lncRNA
GUAGGUUCAAGUAAAUGUGUUGUCCUGCUAAAGGCACGCUUGUUUUCUUGUCAUUAUCUCAAGCUGCUGUUGCACAGCGAGCCAGAUGUACAUGUGGGAGUACGCAAACGGGCUAGUGACAAUAGGAAUGCCCCUUUUUGCAUUGCCAUGUAAUCUUAGCCUUUUCCUUGUUUUGAAACCGUACUUGAGCUGGAUUUGAAAUCCUGUUAUAUGGAUUAGUGAACACUUAAACAUUAUGGAAAUUAAAAAUCAGGGAGCACAGAUGUGAUUUUGCAACACACAUGCCUAAAGGAAUGUUUUUAUGAUUUAAUACAAGUUAAGUUCAAUCAAGAGCAUCUGUGGUAUAAUGUUCAUUACCACAAAAAACAGUUUCAACAUCACUUUCUUUAUUAAGAAUUUCGGGUUAAAUUAAGAAUAUUUCAGGUUAAGUUCAGUCAACAGCAUACAUGGUAUAAUGUUAGUUAUCACAAAAAAUUGAUUCUGCUCAAACGUUUUCUUUUUUUUUAAACCAAAAAUCAAGGCUACAUUGAGGUACGUAUAAUCAAAGUAAAUGGCACCAGUAAUUUAGAGGAUUUAAAAGCAGGAAUGUGAAGUAUUGCAAUUUUAUAAAACCACUUACUUUUGUUAAAACUUGAGUUUUAUUUGAGCUGCAAAACUAUUUAGAUCAUAAUUUUUACAGUGAUUUUGGAGCAUUACCUUGUCAUGGCAAUGAAGUUACAACUACAGUUGUAUAUACUGUAACUUUACAAAGAAAAGGUUAGUAAACAAUUUUUCAGAGCAUGUUGUUCAUAUCUUGUGGAUAUACUUUUGAAAGAGCAAAUAGUUUAAUGUAUUCACGUGUUAAAGAAAAGGAAAUGAAUUUUUGUGGAAAUCAACAUCAUGCCACAAUGGCUGUCACUUGUACUGUACCCGGAAUGUUCCUUGAAUUUUGAUGCUUUGUCAACAGGACAGCAUUGGAAGUCCUGCUACAUUCUGAGCAAGUCAGCUCUUGCAGUGUGUAUUGCAAAAGAAUAUUAAUCAUGCAGGGAGGAUGGUGAAAGAGUGUCAUGUCAUUGUUUCCAUUGUUGGGAAAUACCUGUUUUUCAUGUUCUGCAAUCCGUUUUCCUCAUUCAGAGCAAAAGCCAUGACUUCCUGCCAUCUGGGGUGAUUAAUGAAAAGGAUGGGGAGGACAAGAGAUGGAGAGAUAGAAAGCGAGGGAAUGGGGGAAGGGUGAUCGUGACAAAUCGUUUGGGGGUUCUUCAAAACAACACUGGGAGAUAGAUGGUGGCAGUGUGUGUCUUUCAUUAUCAGUGACCCCCUGUUCAAUCAACGCCAGAGAAAGACGGCCACAGUCCAGAGAACAGGGCUACAGGACAAAGUAUCAUCCCAUCAUCACUCAAGUCCCCCUCUCUUAACACAUACGCACACACAUAUCUUCUCAAACACUCACCUCUACCCCUCAAACGACCCCACACACAUUGAUGAGAUUGGUGAGGGUUCUGACCCCAGACUGGAUGUGCCCUCUUACCCCUCAGGAUCCAAAGAAAGGGCGCCAUCCUUGCAGGUGCCAUGGUAACACUGUUGUGGCAGGUCGAGUCUCAUGAACGAUGAUGCUGGUGAUGUCAUCAACCCGGUAGGAGGAGCAUCCCACCAGUUUUCCCAUAAUCACCAGCUGCCUCUUUCCAUUAGCAUUCAAUGCAAUUCCUAUAGCUUUAAUUCCUACCGUUUUUUUUUAUUUUAACACAACUUUCAUCCUCUGCUCUCCUCUAAAAGUGAAACCUCAUCAAGCCCCUUAUGGCAUAUUUGUAGCAAUAUUUCACUGUACUGUGUUUUAAGAAU